ACGUCAUAUUUUAAAUGCAAAGUCUGAGCUAGGACUGGAGAAGCAACGUCAUGUUAUGACGUCGCUUCCCAAAAUUAUGUUAUUACACGUAUGCUUCGUAUGAUUAUUAUUAACUCGGUUAUGUUAAACCAUAAUUAUAGAUAAUAAUGUGAGGUAAGUGUUUGUAUAAUAAUGUAGUUUUUUUUUUUAUUACUGGGUGUUAGAUACCAGUAGUUUUAUUUAUUCUUUAAUAUUAAAUUAAAAACUUUGUUCACUGUAAACUAUUUUCUGCAAGGCAGCAAGCAAUUCGAAGCAUAUUGUUUUCUUUUUGUGCUAUUUUCAAUAUAAUAAUUAUUGUUGAUUUUUCUUUGGUGAAAGUAUUUCUUAUAUUUUAACUUUUUGUCUAAAUUGAAAAGUAUUUUAGUUUUUAUAAGGUUUUGAAGUUUAUGUUUGUGCUACAUUGUAUAUAUUUAAUGUAUUACAUGCAGGUAGUAAAUAAAUUAGUGGAGUAAAAUUAAUGCAUGAUGUAUUAGAAAGAACAUUGCAUGGAGUGUUUGUAACAAGCAACGGUUUGCAGUGCACAGUUUAACUCUGGACGAAGACAUUUAGAAAUGUUUGUAUCUCUUCACAAACACCCUCUCCCUUUUCCGAUAAUUGUUUAACUCUGGACAGUGCACAGUUUAACUCUGGACGAAGACAUUUUGAAAUGUUUGUAUCUCUUCACAAACACCCUCUCCCUUUUCCAAUAAUUGUUUCCUCUCCCUUCCUAGAGCAUUACAUAAUCGUUCAAAAACCCUUGUUACAAUUAUUACUUUAAAUUUGUGCAAGGGUGAAUAGAUACUAGUGUUUGAGCUAGGACUAAGAAAUUCAAAUAUUGGUACCAAAAUUGGGGCAAAUGUUGUUAUUGUUGAAUUUUUCAUCUGUGGGUUCUAAAAAUGCUUGAUAGCAGUGUGAAUCUAAUGUUUUACUAACAAAAUAACACCAUUUUGUACCAAUACCAUACUCAUGAUGGAAUGAACAGUUAUUGAUUUGUGAAUUUACGUAAAACUUCUCUCUCUCUCUCUCUCUCUCUUCCCCUUAAUGGUUCCCCUACUAGAUUUGUAAUAUCAAGUAACCAUUAAGAUAAAUAACUUGAAACGAUUCCGGUGUAAUUGAAGCAUUCCAUUUUGAUACAUUGCUAUUCAUAUUAAGUGGAUAUUUUGUUCAGAUGUUUUGGUUUAUGUUUGGAUUUCUUCAAGUAUUUUUCAGCCAUUUUGUUUCUGUAAUAUUUCAAAUGUGCACUGCUGUCUGCUACUGUAUUGUGAAAUAAAGUGUGUGAAAGUCAAUUAUAAAUGAAACGUUUCAUACAAAUAUUUGUCAAAAUAAAGGAGGGAGUACAUGUAAACUUCUUCUUUCUUUCAAUAUAUUUUCAAGACAUUAGAAAAUACGGCACAUUAAAUACAAAACCAAUUAUUAUAUAAAUUAGUUAGGAUGUUGAAAAUAAUACACAUUAUUUAUUUAUUAUUUUUUAUUAAAUGGGGGCCAGGCCCUUUCAAAACAUUGGAAAUACUGCAGAAAAAAAGAUCAAUAAAAAAUGGUGGUUGACCUUUAUCUAUUGGGCAAGUGAUGGACUUUUUCAUUUGGAUACAAUAAAAUGCAUAAGCAGAACUGACAAAAGCCAAAUGAAUUUUAACAAUGUUUUCAUAUGUUAUCAGGUGUAAAAAUUCUGUAUUAUAAUGGCAGAGAAAUGUUAAUGUAUAAAAAGAAGUUGCAAUACUUGGUAAAUAUUUUCGUUUGUAUAAAUCAUGUAUUAUUUUUGCUAAAAACAGUAUGUCUUGAAUAUUUGUGUUUUAAGAAUUUUAUUUGUAGUAUUUGGAUUAAAACCAUAAUUGCAGUUUGAGGCAACUGUAACUGUUAUACUUUUGGUAUAUGCAAGUGUCCCUACUAAAUGUAUUGUAUUUUCAAUGUGCUUCAGCAUUCAUUACUGUACAGUGUUAAUGUAACUGGUAAUACUCAUACACAUACAUGUAUGUAUUAUGUCAUAUACUGAUUGAAGAAAAUAAAGGAACACAUAUAAGUAUUAAAAGCCAAUACUGACUGGAACCCAAACCCACAUUGAUAGUGUGAGCAAGCUAACUGUGUUACUGGCGUAAAGGAACACACAUAAGUAGUAAAAGCCAAUACUGACUGGAACCCAAACCCACAUUGAUAGUGUCAGCAAAUUAACCGUGUUACUGGCGUAAAGGAACACACAUAAGUAGUAAAAGCCAAUACUGACUGGAACCCAAACCCACAUUGAUAGUGUCAGCAAGCUAACCGUGUUACUGGCGUAAAGGAACACACACGGCUCACUGGAACAUAUCUUGGUUCAGCUAGUCGUCAGAUAUACAGUAAAGUACUCGUAUAAUGAACUGCAAGGGACCAGACACAUCGGUUCAUUAUAGCAGUAGUUUGUUAUACACAUUUGACGAAGCUAGCCCUUUUCAUUCAGGAAGUCGGACUUUUUGGAUUUUUCAAAUUUAAACAUUUUUUAUUUCAUUUAUUAUCUCCAAAAUCAGCGCAGUUGUUUUGGAUGCAUUGCCAUUAAUGUUACUGAAUGACAACAUACAGAUUAAAACAAAAUAUGAUGGGUUCGCUGUAUGUACACUAAUUUACACUGAUAUUCACAAUUUUAACAAACAGAUUGGUUUGUUUUAACAGUUAAUUCGCUAUACAUAGUUCAUUCUAUACCUUAAACAUUAUUAAUACUAUAUAGGGUUGAAAAACGGGACUUUACAAUUAGUUCGUUCCAACCGGUAGUUUGUUGUUAGCGUGUUCGUUCUAAAAGUACUUUACUGUAUAAAGUACUGGUAUUUCCUUGAAAAUUAUUAAAAUUAAUUUUAGAUAUAUUUUAUUUGUAAAAGACUAAAUGUUGUAGCCACUUUGUCUAAAAAAAUUAGCAUUUGGCUGAUAUGGCAAUGGUGAACCUAAUAUACAUGUAAGUAAUAAAGGCAAAUUUACACCCAUAGUGUUACCGACAUUCAAGCCCAACUACAUGACGUUGUUUUUUUAGGCUUGAAUUCACUUUGAUCUAACAUGUCUUGUGUUCCCUUAUUUAUUUCAAACAAUAUACAGUUAUUGAUAGUUUUAGGCUUGAAUUCACUUUGAUCUAACAUGUCUUGUGUUCCCUUAUUUAUUUCAAACAGUAUACAGUUAUUGAUAGUUUUAGGCUGGACAGUAAAUUACUCUUACUAUAAGUGUGCUAGUAGUUUGGUGCAUUUUGUUUAAAAGUGUGUGGCUGAAAGAUGUUAAAUUUACUAAUUCAGGACCAUACCUGUUAUAAAACAUUGGUGGGAGGGUGGGUGGGGGAAGGGGCAGUACCGCAGCAAAAGAGUAAAGCCAUACUGAUACCAGAUCCUCCCCAGCCACAUGUAUAGGGAACUUUUAAAAUUAAAAGGGCACAUUGGGGUGGCCCUUUCCAGGUGCGGCCCUGUAAUUUUGGACCAAAGUAGAAAAUAAAUAUAUAAAGGCUCAUUGCAUGUAACACUACAAGUGGUUCAGCCCCUCCCGCCCCGGAGUCGGUCACUGGCGUAGUCAGAGGCUGAAUCCGGGGUGGGCGUGCCUGAACCCUUGUGGAUAGGGGCACGUAAAAAGAGUUUCCCAGUUUCCCAGUGGUUCAGUUAACUUUUCGCUAAUUUAUUAUAAGCGGACACUUUAAGUUUUGAUGGAUAUUUUUCUCAAUAACCAAAUUUGUUUUGGCAAGAAAAUAGUAAGCUAAGAGUAAGGUAGAAGCUGUUUAACAAUUAUUUGACACUUGGUGCAAGGAUAUCAUGUUAUAGUGGGGUGCACUUAAAUUGCAGAAUUUUGUAUAGAAAAAUUGGGUAUAAAAACAUUUUGUAACAAAAGAUUUGGUACAAAAAAAUAAAUAAAACACCCCCAAAAAGCAAACAACAAAACAGAUUUUGUGUUACUUAAAUGUUGGAUGACUCCAUAUAUAAUACUGAUAUGGUUAGUAGGCACAAUUAAUCAUGAAAAGUGAAAACUAAAAAUUGUUAUGGUGCAUAUUUAGUUAUUUUUACUAUCCAGUAGGGUAAAUAUAGUACAUUAUAUCAUUGUUAAGGACCAAUCAGUGACCUUGUUUCUCGUAUUGUGAUAGGGAAUUAUGUCAAUACUAACACACUGUUUAACUAUUGGGCAUUUUUCAAUUGUAGCUGCCUUUUUGUUAUAUACAUACAUGUUCUUGUAAUGUAGAGUUUAUCUUUGUCUCGGCUAUAUAUACCACACUGUGUUGUUAAUAUGUGUACAUUGAAUGUUGCUUAAUUAUAGAAUAUAAAUAAAUACAAUGGAUCUAAA